rnacentral:lncRNA from 1 species
CCUAGGUGGCAGCAGAGCACUCCAGGAUUGGUGGAAGACUGUGGUUUGAGACCAGGGAAUCAGGGAAUUCAUUGAAAGGGUCUGAGACCACAGCCAUAAUCUGUGAAAGCCAAGAGGACGGCUAAGGACUAAGGAAUUGACAUUGAGCCCGAACUGGCAGAAGAGACUCAAGCCCCAAAUCGUGACAUGCACACAGGACAAGAACUCAGACCUCGCUGAACUAGGGACUAAGCAGACUGCCACAUUUGGGAGCUCAUCUGGGAUUGUCAGAAGGGUGAGUCAGAGCAGACCUCUAACUCCUUACUUUCAUUUCUGAGGCUU